CUUGCUACAGGUUGGACAUAUACUAAGUGAAGGUAGUGAGGGCCCUGCUUAAAGGAAUUUACAUUCCUCAUCGAGAUGAUAAUCUAAAUAGUACAACCUACAGUUACCUUUUAAUUAACAUUUAAACCACUGUUUUACUGAACAUUGUUUAUAGUUUAUAACUUUUACAUGGAACUUACUCAAUGUAUGAAACCAAUAAGAAACAUGACAAGUCUUUCUCUUCAAUAAAAACAAGGUGGUAAAAUAUAAAACGUCUAGAAGGGAAUGUUCACUAAAUUGAGAAUUCAACAGGAAUUUCAGGUUUUAGGCCCAACUAACAGAAAACAAAACAGCUGGUUUGGAAAAAUUUUAAAUUUUUAGCAAUCUAACCUAAACUUUGAAAUUCACUCAGAAUUUGCAACAAUGCAAGAGGUAAGCAUUAUGGGAGAUGUAGUCCACAACAUUUGAAGUGCCGAAGAUCACCUUACCAUGCUUUAUUGAAAGACCAUGAUAAAAG